rnacentral:rRNA from 1 species
AGCCCCACUCUAGCCCAACCACCAACACUACCCAAACCAGUUAAAAAUCCACCCUACCACCCAACCAAAACAUUCUCUUAACUCAGUAUAGGCGAUAGAAAGGACCCCUGGCGCAAUAGAGAUUUGUACCGCAAGGGAAAGAUGAAAUAACAGUGAAACUCCCAAGCAGCAAACAGCAAAGAUUCACCCUUGUACCUCUUGCAUCAUGGUUUAGCAAGAACAACCAAGCAAAGCGAACUUAAGCUUGCCUCCCCGAAACCCAAGCGAGCUACUCACGAGCAGCUACCCCCUUGAGCGAACCCAUCUCUGUUGCAAAAGAGUGGGAUGACUUGUUAGUAGAGGUGAAAAGCCAACCGAGCUGGGUGAUAGCUGGUUGCCUGUGAAAUGAAUCUAAGUUCACCCUUAAUUCCCCCCAAAGGGCCCCCCAUAACCCCACAUGUGAUCGAACUAAGAGCAAUUUAAAGGGGGUACAGCCCCUUUAAUAAAGGAUACAACCUUCACUAGCGGAUAACCAAACCACCCCAUACAGACACUGUAGGCCCUUAAGCAGCCACCAACAAAGAGUGCGUCAAAGCUCUAACACAAAAAAAUCCAAGAACAACACGACUCCCUUACAACCUAACAGGCCAAUCUAUCAACAAUAGAAGAAUUAAUGCUAAAAUGAGUAACUAGGGGACCCAUCCCCUCUCGGGCGCAAGCUUACAUACAAACACUUAACAGACCCGAACUAAUGCCCCAACUCCAACAAGACCGAGCAUUCAUAGCCAACCGUUAACCCAACCCAGGCGCGCCCACCAGAAAGAUUAAAAUCUGUAAAAGGAACUUGGCAAGUACAAGGCCCGACUGUUUACCAAAAACAUAGCCUUCAGCCAGACAAGUAUUGAAGGUGAUGCCUGCCCAGUGACACUCCGUUUAACGGCCGCGGUAUCCUAACCGUGCGAAGGUAGCGCAAUCAAUUGUCCCAUAAAUCGAGACUUGUAUGAAUGGCUAAACGAGGUCUUAACUGUCUCUUACGGAUAAUCAGUGAAAUUGAUCUCCCCGUGCAAAAGCGGGAAUACCCCCAUAAGACGAGAAGACCCUGUGGAACUUAAAAACCAAUGGCCACCACACACUAAACCAAACCCUACCAGGCACAUCACCAUCACAACGCUGGCCCAUGCUUUUUCGGUUGGGGCGACCUUGGAGAAAACACAUCCUCCAAAAAUAAGACCACCUCUCUUAACCAAGAGCUACCCCCCAAAGUGCUAAUAGCAACCAGACCCAAUACAAUUGAACAAUGGACCAAGCUACCCCAGGGAUAACAGCGCAAUCUCCCCCAAGAGCCCAUAUCGACGAGGAGGUUUACGACCUCGAUGUUGGAUCAGGACACCCUAAUGGUGCAGCCGCUAUUAAGGGUUCGUUUGUUCAACGAUUAACAGUCCUACGUGAUCUGAGUUCAGACCGGAGCAAUCCAGGUCGGUUUCUAUCUAUGAUGGACUCUCCCCAGUACGAAAGGACCGGAAGAGUGGGGCCAAUACCACAAACACGCCCCUCACCCCAAGUAAUGACACCAACUAAAUUACCAAACGACCACCCACCUUACAACCCCUAGACAAGGGACC